rnacentral:rRNA from 1 species
GAUCAUGGCUCCAGGAUGAACGCUAGCUACAGGCUUAACACAUGCAAGUCGAGGGGCAGCAUGGUCUUAGCUUGCUAAGGCCGAUGGCGACCGGCGCACGGGUGAGUAACACGUAUCCAACCUGCCGUCUACUCUUGGACAGCCUUCUGAAAGGAAGAUUAAUACAAGAUGGCAUCAUGAGUUCACAUGUCCGCAUGAUUAAAGGUAUUUUCCGGUAGACGAUGGGG